CCCAGGAGGCCACAGCCCGCAUCCCAGGCUCCAGGACCCCUGGAGGGCUGAGCCCUGCCACCCCGGGUGUUGGGGGUGAGGGGCUGGUCCAGAGACCCCUGGAGGGUGCUGGGGGGUGCGAUUACCAAGUCCUCUUCUGGUCUGGUUCCGCCGCCGUCUGGGGCGAGCUAAUUAGGAUCCAGCUGGCUGGCGCCACAGAUCGGGGACGAGGGACAACUGAGUCCCCUCCUUCCCCUCGGGGGACCCUCGAGCCCCUGCACAGACAGGAAUCACUGGACUGCUUUGCUCACAGCCCCAGCCCCAGCUUCUAGAACAGGCCUGGCACAGCAAUGAGUGUUGAAUCUCAGACCUAAACCUAGGAAUGCACUUCGACUGCUCACCCUUCCACACCUCCGCCCUUCACCAGCUCCAUCAGCCAGUCCUGAGAGCUCGGCCUCCAGAGUACCUCGCCAACCUGCCCGCUUGGGGCCCCCGGUGCCAGCAGCCAGGACCAAGCCACCACCCUGCCGCACCCGGACGUUCGUCUUGGCCUCCCUACCUCCUGGCCUGUCCUCAGCUCAGUGCUAAGGGAUCACUGAAUGACGUAGAUCUGAGUGGUAACCUCCCCCUCAGCU